GCAUUUGUAGCUCAGCGCAGAGCCCCGGCCUUGUAAGCCGGCCGCCGGCGGCUAAAAUCCGUCCUGAUGCC
rnacentral:tRNA from 1 species